AUGUCAGAAUUAACAGGGCAACCCCUAAAAGAAGGAGAGGAGGGGAGAAGAAGCCCACGCAGAGACCGAGGUGGAGACGGGGUGACCGGGACCCCGCGCAGGCUCUGGAGCCUUAAAGGAGCACACGCUUGCCUUUGGUGGUCCGGGCUCCAGAGCUGUGCGGGGCUGGAUUUCUCUGUCCACAGUGGACCCACAAAGGGGCGGGAGAUAGAACUGCGGAGUGUUCUGAACGUGGUUCCCAAGACCCCAGCUCACCAACGUCUUAGAAAAGUUCUGUUGAAUCUGAAUGAUGGAAAAAUAACAGUCUCCCCGUUGCAGACACGCAUCUUUCCAAUGACAGUGCAAAUUACCCAUAAAAUAAUCACCAAGAAAUACACUCGAGCCAAAGCGCUCAAGCCUGAUCCCCGAGUAAGCAUUCACGGUGGAACGGGUAACACCCGUGCGGCUCUUGGGAGUGGGGAGCACGCGUUCGUCCUGUGGUCACCAGGGUCACAUGGCUGGGCUUUGGUUAAACAAGCUGGGAAUCCAGGCAGCUGCUGCUGCAGACGCCAGAGUGCUCCCCUCUCUGUGCCGGCAGCCUCCCCUCGUCCGGGAAAGUGGGCUUCCAGCAAGAGGCUCCCCUCCCACGGCCCAGCUGAUGGUGUCGGCAGCGCUCCCGCCACGUUGCGCGUUUUCAGGAAACCAUCCAUCUGCCGCGUUUGCACUGACCAGGUCAGCACACCCUCCGGAGCCCGUGGCUGCGGGUCGUCUCCCGGAUGCUGCCUGCACAGGGUCAGUGCUCGCUCCAGAGGCUCUGAGGGUUUCCUUCCUCUCCGGGGUGCAGAAGGCUUUUGCCAAGAACAAGACGAGCCCUGGAGGAGAAAAAGCCCUGUAGAAACCUCCGCGUGGUCCCCAGGAGCCCGCUUUGAAAGAAAAAUGGCCUCUGUGAGGGGUAAUUUCAGACGCUAUGACCAGCAUUUCAACAAAUGGAUCAAAUGCACACCUUCAGUAAUACAAGGGUUUCCUAAUGAUGGAUCCACGUUUAUUUCGCUGUCAGCGAUCCGAAGCCAGGAGCCAGGAGCUUCUUCCAGAUCUUCUGUGUGGGUGCAGGGGCCCAAGGACUUGGGCCAUCCUCCACUGCUUUCCCAGGCCACAGCAGAGCUGGAUCGGAAGUGGAGCAGCCAGGACUUGAACCGGUGCCCAUAUGGGAAGCAGGCAGUGGCACUAGGCCACAGUGCCGGCCCCAGUCAGCUACUUUCAAGAAGGUAUAACAUUCCUUUGAUCUAG
rnacentral:lncRNA from 1 species